GUCGGUGGCCGGUGAUGUGCUCGAUGUAGAUGUCCCUGGACCAUCGGAUGGUGUCUGAGACCAUGAGGCGUCGCAUGAGCCGUGCAUAGCGUCGACUGAUCCCGCAGGUCCGCAGCACGCGCUCGUUGCAGGGGUCCCAGGCGCCCAGGGCUCUGACAAUCAGGGCGUCCAUCUGCACCUCGUAGCCCUUUGCUCUCAGGGUGUCAGCCAGGGGGGCGUAUUUUUCCAGCUUACGAGUUCGGGCUUCGCAAAAUGCCGGGGUCCUGUUCUCAAAGGAGACCAUGAAGUCGACGAGGAUGAUCUUUUUCUGGGCCUCAUUGGUGACGACCAUGUCAGGUCAUAGCUGGUAUUACACUCACAAUAGACACACAGGGUUUGUCUGCACAGCAAUUAGACACCCAGAGCUGGCCUAUGCCAGCUGACUUGGCUUGCAGGGCUUGGGCUAAGGGACUGUUUAAUUGCAGUGUAGAAAUUCAGAAUUUGGCCUUGCAACCAAGUCUAAGAAAUGUUAGGAAACUGCAGUUCUAUACCAAAUGAAAUGUCUCUCUACCGCAUGUUUUGUGCAACAAUUGCUUUUCAGGCCACUAAAAGGCAGUUUGAUUCCCUGGUUGCAAACACAUGCUUCAGUUUAUACCCACAGCCAUUUACUCAGGCUAGGAAACAUUCAUCCAGUUAAAUCAAGCCAGAAUUUGUAGAGUUCACUUCUAUGCUAAAAGGCAAAUGCUGUGCUCAAUCAGUGUAAACUCAGAACUCCACUGAUUUCUCCAGUGCAAAUCCAAUAUUACUGAGAACAGAAUGUGGCCUUUAAUAUUUAAGCUUUGUAAUAUCUUUAUACCUUAGAAUAACAAUGGCAUUUGAGCAGAGGAGUCAGUUUACAGUACCUGCAAAAAUCGAGGAGUAGCAGCUCCAUGCAGGAACAGCUCUGACCUUCCUGCUCCCCAGAGCUAAACUGAUCAAACCUCACCUAGGCACAGAGUUCCAGAUUUAAAGAGACAGUGCAGUAAAAACACCCAGAGUUUGUCUUUUGCUCACUGUGGCGUAGUUUCAGCCGAAAGGAAUAUGCCGCGUUUACUUGUAGCUAGUGGUGAAUGCCCCCUGGGCUAUGCUGGUCCCAAUGCUGCAGUGGGGUCAGCCCCCAAGAAUCUCAACGCAGGGGGCGGGGGCACUGGUGUCAGUUACCCCAUACAGAGUGAUGAUGAUAUCGAUUUCCUUUAUAAAGUGUUUAGCGAGCAAAAGAUGAAAAGUUCUAUAUAAGAGCAAGGUGGUGAUAUUCUUUGCAGCUGUUCUAUAAACAGGGCCAGGGCCCGAGCUCUGGGAACCCAGCAGCCAGAUUUAGGCAUGCGUGCAUACUAAUAACUUGCCCUCAAUAAUUCAUAGAUUUAAGGCGAGAUGGGAAGGCUAGAUCAUCUACUCUGAUCUCCUGUAUAACACAGGUAGGCAAGUCAUUCAUCUGGUUUUAAGCCGGCCAGUCCUGUUGUUGUAUGGUUUGUCCCCUAUCCAGUACAGAUAUUAAAACUGGACAUGGUUUAGUCCAAUAUCACGCAUGGAGGGUGCCAUUUGGCAAAGCGCACUGCUCUGGCCCUCCCACCCUGGAGUGACUUUGCACACGCUGUGUGUGUGAGGUCAUGCUGGCAGUGCAGCAUGCUCUGCAAAAUAGCAUCCUCCAUGUGACAUGGUCACGCCAGCAGGCGUGGGGACAGCUAAGGGGAUGUUGUCCUGUGUUCUGGGGAUGUCAGUGGCCACCCUAAUCACAGGCCAUUAAAUUUCACAAUUACUCCUGGAUUGAGCCCAAUAACUUGUGUAGCUAACACAUCUUCCAGGAAAGCAUCCAGUCUGGCUCUGAAGACACUAAGACACAGAGAAUCCACCACUUCCCUGAUAGAAGGAGAGGAUGCCACUGUGUGUGUGUUUGACCUUGCACUCUUUCUUCAUGAGCUAGGUAAAUCCCUUGGUGUUAGGACUAGCAGCAGGGAUACCCAGCAUUGUGGCCCUGGUCCUCGGAAUCAUACUGGCUGUGACCUGCAUUCGACAAAGGACACGCUGCAGCUGUAAUAAGGCCAAGCAGAAUCAAGAGGUGCCUGAAGAAUGCAAAUAUGAACAGACCAUUCCAAGGCUUCCGAAAGUCUCCUGUGUGUCCAUGAUGAAGGAGCCAACAAAUGCUUAUGAAAACGAGGAUCAAAAACCACCCCGCAGGCUACCAGCGCCCAUCCCCAGAAAAUCCAACUGGGCGAGGAAUAUAAAGCAGGACGCUGGUUGUACAGGACGGAAAUCCUCGCAAGUAAGUCUGGAGGCAGUCUACGAAACUUGCGUACCUUCCCCCAUAAUCGAGAAGAGGGAAAAGCGUAUGGGUUGGAACUGAAAUCAACUGGCCAUAUGCUCUGCUUGGACGCACCCACCAAUGCAGCUCCACUGCUGUUUAAAAGAGGGUAAUUGGGCCUUUUGUGUUUGUGAAUAUUUGGACUGACACAGAACAAAGAGAAAGCAGAUGAAGGAGGACUAUGUCUGGAUUGAUGCUUUCAGGACGCCGAAUCAAAGUGCCCCCAGCCAUCCACAAGCAAUAACUUUGCUUAUCUGUCAAAUUUUAAUGGCAUUUGAGUUGAUUCACUCUAAUCAAGAGCAGCUUACCCUUUGUAGUGACACUGUGGAUAGAAAAGCUCUGCCACAUGCACUAUAUUCUAUUCUUCCCCGUUUCUCCAAAGGAUCUGGUAAAUACGCUAAUAGUCUUAGCCCGUGUGCUAUAAAAUCAUCUCUCAUGUGACAUGUUGUUUAUUGCUUAGAGCAGGAACAGUGUCAGGACGAAUGAACUAAUCCUCUGUCUCAGCAACCCAGCCCUUUCCAGUUAAGACCUCGCUUGUCCCCACUCUCCCCCACUCCCUCAGAGUUUGUAAGGCUUACGAAGUUUCAGGGAUUCCUCUCACAAAUUCUUUCCAGACUCUCCUAAAUGAAUGCAAUAAAUGUUUACACAAGCACAUUGCAUAAAGUCCUCAGUACAAAUCAAUGCAUAACUCGUCCCCCUUCUGUAUUCAAACCAGACACCCAAGUAGAAGGCACUUUGUCAUGGAGGAAUUUCCAAAUUCUUAUUGAAAUCCAAUCCUCUUUAUUUCCAAACUUUCUGGAAACUGUGAGCCAUAUCUCAGCUGGUGUAAAUCAGCAUUGCUCCAUUGAACUCAGAGCAACUCCAGUUUAUGCCAGCUGAGGAUCUGGCCUUGCAAUUGCAAGUAACUAAUUGAUCUUGGAUUUCCAAACAGUUGGUGGCUCAAGAAGGCAAAACUCUAUUUAACUCAAAGGGUUCUCAGCCUGGAUCUCAUGAACAGGUGUCGGGAGGCUAUGACAGCAGGCUCUUCUCAUGGGGCUAAAUGGGAGGAGGAUCCAAGCUAAAUCCCAGGGAGAGAUUCUCAGUUCGCAGGGGUGGGAACUGAUAUGGAAAAGGAAUCAUGCUGUAGCAAAGGUUGAGAACCUGCUGCUUUA